rnacentral:rRNA from 1 species
UACGAGAGGUGCAAGCGUUGUCCGGAUUUAUUGGGCGUAAAGCGUUUCUAAAGGCGCUUUUGUAAGUUAUCUUUUAAAGACCAAGGCUCAACCUCGGGAAGGGAGAUAAUACUACAAGAGUUGAAAUAUUUCGGGGUUACUAGAACUAUCGGUGUAGGGGUGAAAUCCGUUGAUAUCGAUAGGAAUUCCAAGGGCGAAGGCAGGUAACUAGGAAUUUUUUGACGCUGAUGAACGAAAGCUAGGGGAGCGAAAGGG